rnacentral:rRNA from 1 species
GUAUGUGGUUUAAUUCGAUGCAACGCGAAGAACCUUACCUGGUCUUGACAUCCGGAGACCCUUAGGAAACUAGGGGGUGCUUCCAUCUGGAAGAAUCUGGAGACAGGUGCUGCAUGGCUGUCGUCAGCUCGUGUCGUGAGAUGUUGGGUUAAGUCCCGCAACGAGCGCAACCCUUGCCUUUAGUUGCCAGCAGUUCGGCUGGGCACUCUAAAGGGACUGCCGGUGUUAAACCGGAGGAAGGUGGGGAUGACGUCAAGUCCUCAUGGCCUUUAUGACCAGGGCUACACACGUACUACAAUGGCCGAUACAAAGGGCAGCGACACUGCGAGGUGAAGCCAAUCCCGUAAAAUCGGUCUCAGUCCGGAUUGGAGUCUGCAACUCGACUCCAUGAAGUUGGAAUCGCUAGUAAUCGUGGAUCAGCAUGCCACGGUGAAUACGUUCCCGGGCCUU